AGCAGCUGAAGGCUAGUUGAAGGCCAGCAGCUGAAGGCUAGUUGAAGGCCAGCAGCUGAAGGCUAGUUGAAGGCCAGCAGCUGAAGGCUAGUUGAAGGCCAGCAGCUGAAGGCUAGUUGAAGGCCAGCAGCUGAAGGCUAGUUGAAGGCCAGCAGCUGAAGGCCAGCAGCUGAAGGCUGAGUUGAAGGCCAGCAGCUGAAGGCUAGUUGAAGGCCAGCAGCUGAAGGCUAGUUGAAGGCCCAGCAGCUGAAGGCUAGUUGAAGGCCCAGCAGCUGAAGGCUAGUUGAAGGCCCAGCAGCUGAAGGCUAGUUGAAGGCCCAGCAGCUGAAGGCUAGUUGAAGGCCCAGCAGCUGAAGGCUAGUUGAAGGCCCAGCAGCUGAAGGCUAGUUGAAG